GGCUGGUCCGAGUGCAGUGGUGUUUAUAACUAAUUGAUCACAACCAGUUAGAGAUUUCUUUGUUCCUUCUCCACUCCCACUGCUUCACUUGACUAGCCUUAA
ensembl:Y_RNA Y_RNA Y RNA